UGUUCUAGCCCAUGCAAAGACAGUAAGCUAGAUUUGUGUUUUGUGUGUGAUUACAGGCGAUCUUGAAGCACUCAUCAAAGACACCUGAUGAAGCCCUACCCAUCGGAUAAGAGAUUGAAGGGGAAGGCAAAAAGCUGGCUUGAGGAGUGUGCUGGAGACAGACGGACUGGAAAAGUGGGACAGGGAUGCCAGGGAACUUCUCUGGUGCUGAGAGGUGUUUUGGACAUGUGAGAGUCUUCUCACGCUGCAGGUAACACAACGCUGCUUCCCUGCCUCCAUUGUUCACUGGUGGCUUUGUGUUCGAUCAGAGUGAGGGACAUGUGAGCUUCAAGUGCACGGCAAUCGUUUAUCAUUUUAGACACACACUGAGUGGUUCUAGACAUCAUGUUCAGUCAUUAAACCAACAGCCAAUGGGUUAAAAAUAUAAUUAAAAUAUGAUCUCAUAUAAAAUGUUAUGUUUCUUUUAUUUUCUCCAUGAAUAGUCUACACGUGUUGAUGAUCAUACAGCCUUCGAGACCAUUGUGGUUUCAUACGGUAAGAGUCCUUCAAAACGUAGAUAAAUGCAUGUAAAUUGACCGAGACAAUGAUUUCCUGGUUGGGAUAGGAUGGGGNNNNNNNNNNACUGUAUUUUUUUGUGAAGAAUCAACAACAAGUGGGACACAAUCAUGAAGUGGAACGACAUUUAUUGGAUAUUUCAAACUUUUUUAACAAAUCAAAAACUGAAAAAUUGGGCGUGCAAAAUUAUUCAGCCCCCUUAAGUUAAUACUUUGUGACUUACAGCUGUAAGUCGCUUGGGGUAUGUCUCUAUCAGUUUUGCACAUCGAGACCAACAUUUUUUCCCAUUCCUCCUUGCAAAACAGCUCGAGCUCAGUGAGGUUGGAUGGAGAGCAUUUGUGAACAGCAGUUUUCAGUUCUUUCCACAGAUUCUCGAUUGGAUUCAGGUCUGGACUUUGACUUGGCCAUUCUAACACCU
rnacentral:lncRNA from 13 species